AUGACGGCGUCAAUAGAGCGAACCACGUCAGGUGCACGGCGUCAGGGCACAAUGAUGAAUUUUACGGAGGAUGCUCCUGUAAAGAAAUGCUCUGUUCUCUUAACAAGGAUGGAAAGUAUAACGGCAUACAAAAACCAACGUGGACAACCCAAAUCUGAACAAUCUGACAUUCCAGUGUCUGCUAAUGACAUGUGUUCCCUUGCUGAAUGGCCAUCCCAUGCUCGCCGCAAUCGUGCGCGACUACAGGAUGAAGCUGGUGGACAGAAGAAGAAAGGGCGAGGUGUUCUAAAAGGUUUUAAAGCAUCUAAGAAGCGUUUUGCCAAUGGAUCUGCAAAGCUAAAUAUUACAUUCUCUGAAAAAUUGGGUGGUACAGUAGGAAUGAACUAUCGUUCGUUCAAGGAUGACGUGGUUGUCAUAAUGAAAAGAAAGUUACCACUCAUUGGAGCGAGGACGUGGUCGGACAUUCACCCUACCAUUCAUCGACUCAUUGUUGCAGAUAUAAUAGACAGAUGGGACCUGGAAGAUACACCAGAAACAGAAGAAAAAGUUCUCAAAAUUGCGAAAGAGAGAUAUAGAGGCUGGCGAUCAACUCUAAGCUCCACUUACAAGGCAUACAAAACAGAUGCAGCUAGAUUGGCUAAUCUGCCUGAAGAUUUACAACCAGAAGAGUGGGAAUGGAUGAUUGAGUACUUUGGCAUUGAUUCAAAAUUUCAGGAACACAGCCAAAAGAACGCUGAUAACCGUAAGAAACAGAAGACAAAACAUAUAAUCGGAACAAAAUCUUACUCGCAAGUUAGUUUUGAGAAGAGAAACUUAGAAACUGGAGAAGAGCCAGAUUGUAUUGCUCUAUGGGAACUCACCCACACAAAUAAUGGAACAUGGUCUAACACAGAUUCCCAGAAAGUUUACGACCAAGCACUUGAAGAGGUUAAAAACAAAGAAGCUGAAACUAAAGGUCCACUUUCAAGUGAGCAGAAAAACAAUGUUUUCCAGACCGCUUACAAAGACACUCUAGAAUGCAAGUCAUCGCAGCCUCGUGGGUACGGAUACAUGGACAAAACUUCAACUGGUUCUAAAAAGUUCCGUAUCCAGAUUGAAGAGCAAGCUCGUGCUACAGCAGCCACCCAGGAGCGAAACUCUCAGCUCAGCCAGCAGGUCAAUGACUUAGAAGAUCAACUACAAGCUGAACGUGCUAACACACAAGAGAGGAUUAACUUGGAGCGUGCUGAGAGAGAACAACUUGAGGAGAGGUUAAAAGAAGAGCGUGUUGAAAGGGAAAGAUUGUUGCAAGAGGAGCGAACAUCAAGACUGGAAUUUGAAAAAAACAUGAUGGCAAAGUUUGUAGAAUUGAGCAAACAGAUAGAAACCCAACAGGUUCCUACGAAGAGGGUUGACAAAGAAAAUAGUAAUCCAAACUUGCAAAAUAUUCUUUCACAGACAUCUAGUCCUAAUAAGACUCCAGGUUCAAGGCCGACUGCUAUUUCUUCAAAUGCGCUCAUACAAGCUGCAGCAAGGCAAUCUCGAAUGUAUAAAGCAAUGGAUCCAAAGAACUAG
rnacentral:rRNA from 1 species